AGCGAACGCUGGCGGCAGGCCUAACACAUGCAAGUCGAACGGAUCCUUCGGGAUUAGUGGCGGACGGGUGAGUAACACGUGGGAACGUGCCCUUUGGUUCGGAACAACUCAGGGAAACUUGAGCUAAUACCGGAUGUGCCCUUCGGGGAAAGGAUUUAUCGCCAUUGGAGCGGCCCGCGUCUGAUUAGCUAGUUGGUGAGGUAAAGGACUCACCAAGGCGACGAUCAGUAGCUGGUCUGAGAGGAUGAUCAGCCACAUUGGG
rnacentral:rRNA from 1 species